UACAGGGGGUGCAAACGUUGCUCGGAAUUAUUGGGCGUAAAGCGCGCGUAGGCGGCUACUUAAGUCGGAUGUGAAAGCCCCUGGCUCAACUGGGGAAGUGCACCCGAAACUGAGUGGCUUGAGUGCGAAAGAGGGUCGCGGAAUUCCCGGUGUAGAGGUGAAAUUCGUAGAUAUCGGGAGGAACACCGGUGGCGAAGGCGGCGACCUGGGUCGACACUGACGCUGAGGCGCGAAAGCUAGGGGAGCAAACAGG
rnacentral:rRNA from 1 species